rnacentral:lncRNA from 1 species
UUUCUCCAUGUUGGUCAGGCUGGUCUCGAACUCCUGACCUCAGAUUAUCUGCCCACCUCGGCCUCCCAAAGUGCUGGGAUUACAGGUGUGAGCCACCGUGCCUGGCCAAGACUUCCUUUUAAAGAGUAGUAUACGGAAAAGGGGAAAAGAAUAACUUUACAAUGGAGAAACCUGGCAAACACUACCUCAGCCAGUGAUCAAGGUUAACAUCAACAGUGAUAAGUCAUGCUGACAGUAUAUACCCUUGAUAUGAUCUGAUGAGAAUGGUACUUUAGUUCUGUGGUCUUCCCUUCAAAAACACAUAUGAAAAAAAUAAAAAAUAAAAAUCAACAACAACAACUACUAUAUACAUAUGUACAGGAAAAAACCCAUGAGGCUAAUCAUGAGAAAAACACUGGACAAAUCCCAAAAGAGGGACAUUCUACAAUAUCCCUCACCAGUACUCCUCCAAAUUGUCAAGAACAUAAAAAAUAAAGAAUAUCAGAGAAAUUAUCACAGAUAAGAGAAGAAGAAGAAGACCUGAAAACUAAAUGUAAGUGUGGUAUCCUGAAUGAGAUCCUGAAACAGAAAAAUGAUAUAGGUAAAAACUAAGGAAAUUUGAAUAAACUAUGAACUUGAGCUAAUAAUAAUGUAUCAAUAUCAGUUUAUUCACUGUAACAAAUACACCAUAAAAUGUAAAUAAAAGGGGAAGCUAUAUGAUAGGAUAUGUGUGUAUUGGGGGGAGGGCAUAUGGAAACUCUUGUACCAUCUUCUCAAUUUUUCUGUAAAUCUAAAACUGCUCUUAAAAACCCUGUUUAAAAAAAUCCAAUAGCUAACUGUAAUGCCACCACAGUAUUAACACUGUGAGAUAUAUUUUAUCAGUUUUGUUUUUCUUUAUGUGCAUGUGUAUUCACAUACCCAACAGGUUUAGUUUUUCUAUUUUAGUCAAAUGAUAAACACAUGUUCACCAUAGAAAAAUUAGAAAAUAGAGACUUUUAAAACUUCUGUAAUGCCAUCACCCACAAAUAAAUGAUUGCCAUUUUGACAUACAGCCUUCUAUUUAUCUAUGUACUAUUCCUUCAUCACCCAUUUCCUAAUUCUUACAUAAACAUACUUCAAUUUUAUCACAAAGUUAUUUUCUCUGAAAAAUUCUCUCUGGUUCCCAAAGCAGGUUAAGUCUCUCUAAUAGGCACUUAACAUAGCUCCCUGUACUGCUCUUUCCUAGCGCUUAUAACAUUUGUAAUCAAAUGGUCAAUUGAGAAAUUAAUCGUUAUUAAUGCCUGUCUUCCCACAAAAAUGUAAGCUUCAUAUAUUAUUCAUCGUAGUUUCCCCACCAUGGUGCCUUAAACGCAGCAAGUAUUCAAAGAAUAAUAGCUGACUAAAUGCAUGAAUACUACAUGUACACAGUGAAGUAACAAUAUAGCUAUUGGAAACUAAAUGUAUCCCUAUGGAAAAAUGUUCAGGAUAGCUUAGUGAAAAAUAAGAUGUGGCCGGGAGCAGUGGCUCACACGUGUAAUCCCAGCACUUUGGGAGGCUGAGGCAGGCAGAUAACCUGAGGACGGGAGUUCGAGACCUGCCUGGCCGACAUGGUGAAACCCCGUCUCUACUAAAAAAUACAAAAAUUAGCUGGGAGCGGUGGCAUGCGCCUGUAGUCCCAGCUACUUAGGAGGCUGAGGCAGGAGAAUUGCUUGAACUCGGGAGGUGGAGGUUGCAGUGAACUGAGAUGGCACCACUGCACUCCAGCCUGGGCAACAGAGCAAGACUCUGUCUUAAAUAAAUAAAUGAGAUGCAAAACAAUAUGCACAGCAAAUUCUCAUUUUCUGUUUCAAUAAUAACAAAAGCUUACUAUGUGCAUAGAAAACAAAUACAACAAAGAGUUCAAAAUCGUUAGUCUGGGUGGGGAAUUUCAGUAAGUUAUUUCCUAGUGUACAUAUCCAUCAUGUUUCAAUGUUUAGUAAGUAUGCAUUAUUUUUAUGAACGGAAAAAUAAAGAUAAAAUAUGCCUUCAUUAUGGAAAAAUUAGAAAAUAAAGGUAAAUUCCUUUUUAAAAAACUAAACAACCUAUUGUUAUCAAUCUCAUUAUACCAGACACAAUCACAAUGAAUACUUCGGUAUAUUUCCUUUUCAUUUGUACCUUGUACAUUUAUUUUUGUUUGACAUGCUAUAGGUAAAUUUAUAUUUUGACUUUCAUGUCUCAUUUCAUCCUGACAACUACCUUAUCAGGGAGACAACCCUUGGCCACAUUAGCAGCAGCACAAAUGAAUUGAAUCAUGAGUAUGUGUUCCCAGAGCUGGUUAAAAACAGACAGAAGAAUGGGGUCUCCUGACUCUCAGUCUUCCACUCCUCGUUAACCCUCACAGCUCAGCAACAAAUUAUCAAAGCUGAGAUAUCCUAUGCACUGUAAAAUGACCGAAUUCAAAUUGAACAGCUCUACAAGUUUAAUCACUUUUAUAAUAUUUCAAAUGUUCAUAUAGUUAGGCAAAUGUUUAUUGAAGUCUUAGAAGGAAAGAUAUCUGUAAUUAUUAAAAAGAACACCAACCAGCGUAACUACUGAUAUACGUAACAAUUUGGAUAGAUCUCAAGGGAAUCAUGUUGGGUGUAAAAAGCCAAUCUAAAAGGCUAUAUACAAAUACUGUAUGAUUCCAUUUAAAUAGCAUUCUCAAAAUGAUGACAUUUCAGAAAUGGAGAGCAGAUUAAUGGUUGCCAGGGACCAGGAAUUGGCAGGCGGAGGGAAGACUGACGGUAACUAUAAAGGGGUUGCAUAAGGGAGAUCUUUGUAGGUAUGGAACAGUUCUGUAUCUUGACUAUUUUGAUAGUUAGACAAAUCUACACAGGUAACAAAAUUGCAUGCAUGCAUGCAUACACACACACAUACACACACACACUAAUGUAUAUAAACUAGUGAAAUCUGAAUAAGGUUUAUGCAUUAUACCAUUGUCAAUUUUAUGGUUUUGCUAUUAUAAUAUUGUUUUGCAAGAUGUUAUGAUUGGGGGUAACUGGUGAAGAGUAGACAGGAGAUCUCUGUAUUAUAUUGGCAACUUCCUGUGAAUAUUUAACUUAAAAGUUUUCAAAUGGGCAAAAAGGAUAAAUGACACAAAAUCUCAUAAUUAAUCCUUGCCAGAAACCCCUUACAUUAGGGUUUCAUAAAUGUUCGAUACACACAGUAAUAAAUGUAUGGGAAGAAAAAUUAUACUACAGGGGAGAAUUUCUAACAUAGCUGUCAAACGACAGAGUGGGAUCUCAGGCAGGCAGUGAGCUUCUCACUGGAGGUAUGUGAACAGAGAGAAUGAUUUUCUGAAGAGGGAUAUGGUAAGAAUGACUCAUUAAUUUAUAAGUGGGAUGAAAUACCUAUUCUAAUUCUUCUUUAUUAAUUUAGCAAACAUGUGGCAUAAGUAACACAAAACCCACUCACUCCCUUCCUAGCUUGCAAUCAUGCCAGAUGCUAACAGAUGACACCCCUCCUUACCAAAUGUCCCCUACAAUCCUCCUAAUCCUCAACAGGUGCUUCAGGUAGCUACUACAGUCAGAGUUAGUAUUUGCUUUCCUGAACCACGAACCACCUAACAAUGUGGUCAUUGUUCUACAAACUCUCUGAAGAUGGCAAAAAUAUAAAAUGCUAAUUCAAAAGUAAAGCUUUGCCACACCUUGCACUAGAACCAAGAAGACAACCUAAUAGGAUCCAAAGAAGACUGCCUCCAGCUGUAACAAUAUUCAUAAUCAUUAUGAUAUAAUACUUUGAAAUUUAGUGAUUACUCUGAUCUAAUGUCCUAGUAGCACUUACCUUUUAAACUAUUCUUACAGAAAAGGUGGAGAAAUUAUUCUGGUCUAUAACAGGUGAAAUUCUGGCAAAUGGAAGGUAAGAAAUAAUUUGCCCCAAAUGUAGUUUAAAAAACGAAAAAAAGCAUGCCCAAGCAGCACUUACAAAACUCAAGGCUUUAAAUCUUUUGAGUGAUCUACAAACACCUUUUUUUAAAAAGGAGCAGAAUUGUUGAAGAAAAUCUCAAAUAUAAGGAAAAAUAAGUGUAUACUGAUUAUACUCAUUAUCUCUGAAGUAACCAAAGAGUUAAUCACUGAUUUUUGAAAGUUCUUAAACAAAAGAAAGUAAAGUAAACCAAAACUGAUUGUAACUGCCAGACAGGAAAUUUUUGUUGGAUGCAGAGAAGAUUCUAAGAGUGGCUUGUGAUAAUAAUGGAAAAGGGCACUUUGGCUAAUAGACAGACCUAGAACACUGAGAUAAAAGGUUCUUUGAAGUGUUUUACUUUUUGAUAGGUUUUAAGGAAUAAGAACACCAACCACUUCAACUAGCCAAUAUAUAAAAUAAAAAUAUUGAAUGUGGACCACUGUUUUCUAAUUUUGUGCGCCAUCAAUCCCUCUUAAGUAGUUCUACCCUACAAGGCUAUCUGUUCUAAUGUUAUAGACCUUCUAAUACCAAAUUUAUAGACUAACCCAUUUAAAGCAGAGCAAACUCACCGCUGUUUCUGGCAGUAUCACUAUGGAUGAUCUUUUACUCGUUCUUUGUUUACUUUCUUCAUUUGCAAAGUGGGAAGCUGCUCCCAAUGAAAAAUUCGUUAAAAGGUCAACUACAAAGCAGAACCAACAUGAGAUUUUAUUAUAAAUAACAAAAUGCCUUCUUUGUAACAAAGAUAUUCUUGUGCUUUAAAAUUUACUUUUGUUUUUCUCUUGGUAAUCAUCAUUGAAAUUGCUAAUACACGAUGUAAAAGUAAAGAUCUUCUGAAAGACUCUCCUAGGCAAAACUGGCUUCUUCCUUCAGUCACCUAGGAUUUUUGGCCUUGUGACCUUAGUUUCUCUUUAUUGCCCAGUGUCACUGUUACCUGACCUCCUUAGUCCCUCUUUACUCCCUAGUGUCACUCCUACCAAUAGAAAUCACUUGGUACAGAAUUCAAUGAUAAAAUGUCUAUCCCCACCAUACUGUAAUUAUUUGCAUAUAUAGCUGUCUCCCCCGCUGACCUGCUCAAAAGUAAAACACUCUAUCUCAUAUAUUUUAUAUCUCUAGUGCUGAUCAUGAUGCUUACAAAUAGUAGACCCUGGGGAAAUGUUUAUUAAAACAUUGAGUAAUGACUACCAAAUUCUCUAAGGAGAAACAAUUCCACUGUUUACUAGAAUCUUAUUUCCAAGGUUUUCUAGACAAAAUAAAAUAGAUUAUCAACACCAACAAUUUGUGCUUUGCCUUGGUAGUUCAUUGUUUUUCAUAUCUGGGAGUUGAAUGACCUUAUCUAGACCAGCUAAUUGAGCCUCACAUUUCUCUGUGCUAAAGUUUAAGACUUUAGAGACAGACAAUGAGACCCUCAGGGCAGGAAACAUCUCUUAUUUAUCUCUGUAUUCCUAAUUCUUGGUUAUGGAAUAUGUGCUUAAUAAAAGUUUGCUGAGUGAAUGCAUUAUUAAAUUGAUCCACAUUGCCGGGUGCUGUUCUCACAUUGCUAUAAAGAAAUACCUGAGACUGGGUAAUUUAUAAAGCAAAGAGGUAUAACUGGCUCACAGUGCUGCAGGCUACACAGGAAGCACAGCAGCAUCUGGUUCUAGGAAGGCCUCAGGAAGCUUACAAUCAUGGCAGAAGGCAAAGGGUGAGCAGGCAUCACACAUGGCAAAAGCAGGAGCAAGAAGGGAUAGGAGGUGCCACAUACUUUUAAACGACCAGAUCUUGCAAGAACUCUCUCACUAUUGUGAAGACAGUACCAAGAGGAUGGUACUAAACCGUUCAUGAGAAAUUCGCCCCCAUGAUCCAAUCACCUCCCGCCAGGCCCCACAUCCAACACUGAUGAUUACAAUUCAAUGUGAGAUUUGGAUGGGGACACAGAUUCAAACCAUAACAAACAACCUCUAAUAUCAGACCCACAAUCCAUGUAAAAAAAAAAUCUAGACAUAUUUAUCUCACUAGUGUUUAUACAGUAAUUUGAAGCAAACAGUGAUAUAUAAAAUUGAAUUCAGUUCUUAGGUCCCAAGUAGAGUGAAAUCUAAAGAUAAUGUGGAAAAGAAACAAAAACAAAAAAACAGCUAGAAUACAUUCUCUCAAAACCCUUCCCUCGGCUGGGUGUGGUGGCUCAUGCCUGCAAUCUCAACAAUUUGGGAGGCCAAGGUGGGAGAAUUGCUGAGACUGGGAGUUUGGGACCAGUCUGGGCAAUAUAGGGAGCCCUGUCUCUACAAAAAAUAAAUUAGCCAAGUGUGGUGGCACACAUCUGUAUUCCCAGCUAUUCAGGAGGCUGAGGCGGGAGGACAGCUUGAGCCUGAGUGGUAGGCUACAGUGAGCUUUGAUCUUGCCACUGCAAGAUCUUGCCUGUGUGACAGAGCAAGAUCCCAUCUCAACAAAUAAAUAAAUAAAUAAAUAAAUAAAAUAAUUAAUAAAACACUUUUUCCUUGGUGUGACCAUGGCAAAUAGGUGGAACUCAGCUGUCAAGGGCUUUUAUAUAGAGAGGGUAAAUUAGCAGUUAUGGGGCCACUGAAAAGCCAGAAGCGGUUCAUCUCCUUGUAAAGUUUCCAUUUUCUUGGUACUUGAAAGUUUCCAAGAGGAAGUGCUACCUUUCUAUUUUGGAACUGAUCUUAAAAAAGAUGUUUGUGAAGUCUUUGGAUUUAGUUUCUCUCAAUAAUAUACAAACCAAAUUUCUCAGCUGAUAUAUUUAAUGAUGAUUUUCUAACUGGGAUCUGAAAAUCCACCUGCGCCAUACCCACGCUUUCUUAUGCCUCUCCCUCUUAGUGACUAAGAUUCUUUGAUAUGAAUUUAGGUCAUCCUGAAAUAUAAUAAAUUUUGGUUACCUUAUGUAAAGUUAAAGUUGGAGAAUGGAUUAAGAUUUUAAAAUAGCUACACAUAUAAGGUGAUCAUAUAACAGAGAACUAGUACAAAUUAAAAAAAAAAAAAAAAACAUAACCGUAGACUAAUCUAACUUCUGUGAUUUAGAAUCCAGCACCAUAUAGUUUGAAUUUGUUUACUAAAUGUUCUAAAUUGUAAGAGAAAUCUGAUCUUAAAUAAUCUCCAUAGACUAUAAGCAGUUAAGUCUCCCCACUUGCUAAGCCAUUUUAGCCAUCUAUCUUGAACAAUUAACUUCUCCCUCCUGCUACUCCCUUCCCCCAACACACAGAUUCUUCUUGGGAUUUUAAAGAAUGACAUAAUGAACUUUCAUAUUAGUGGUCUAUUAACUUUGAUAAAGGAGACGCUCAAAAACAUAACGAACACUUUCAACUACCAACUUGUGAUGACAAACCAUAAUACUCGGUCUUGAUAAUCUUUCAAAUAGAUAAGUAAAGCCAGAAAUUUUAAAUUAGGAGAAAUAAAAGAAAGGACACAAAAUAUCUCCAAAGAAACAGAAAUGCCAAAAUCAUUUUGAAACAUUCGUUAGAAUGAGAACACACAUUUCCUACUGUCAUAAACGUAACAAAGCUAAAAAGCUCUCUUCCGAGACUCCCUCUCCUUAUUUCAAUCUGUACUUUCCAUCUGAUGACAGCAUUUUCUGGAUACAAGGAAUAUUUCCCUCAUCACAGAAACUGCCUGACUUGUAAUCUAAGAGAAACAAAAAUAAUUCUUAGCUCUUGGAUCUAAUAUCCUAGCAGUGUUGGAAAAACAAUUCCCUAAGAUGUUAAGAUGGUUCUGAAACUGAUUGUCUCUCAUUUUCCACCCAACACAGAAUUAAUUAGGGUCUAUAUUCUUGAUACUGUUCUAUUUAGGAAACAGCUUGACAUGUGGGACAUAUUAACAAAAAAAAAAAAAAAAAUACUGGUGACAAAGAACUCGUGCUAUAGGCAGGCAGACAGAAGAAAACCUGUCUCAUGUACCAGAUUUAAAAUCUUCAGAAAUUAAGUUCAGCAAGGCAAAAUAAUCCCAAAAGGGCCCACUAUUAUUUGCCUCAGGUAAACAUUCAACAACAAACCACAUCCAAAAAUACUUAGCAGCCUAUGAUGCUUGACUAUCAUUUAAAGCAAGCCUUUAGAAUAUGUAAAGAAAAUCCAAACAUUUCUGAUACUUAUCUGCUUUCCAAAGUAACUAAUAAUACCACUGGAUAAACUACACUUUGAAAAGACCAUAAAUGAGUAACCCGGAUUUUAGAAGUAAGAAAAUAUUCAAAGUUUUCAUACUAAAAAGUAUUCCCAGAUGAUUGUCAACAUGAUUAGUAUAUUAAUGUUUUAAAAACUACAAAAUCAAAGAUUUGGAUGUUAGGUUGAGUUUGUCUCUGCACUCAUCAGAUUGUGGUUCUAAAUAAAGUAAAUCACUGUUGGGGCAAGGGUAUGUUUAAACUGGAAUCAGCCAGUUACAUAAAGAAAUAACCCAAUGAAUCAUUGUAAAUUCCUAUGCCAAUAAGAUAAAAACUCAAACUUGGCACUAAUGUAUUCUAAACAUUUGUCUGUAUUUCUUUAACACUCAUAUUUCAUGUAAAUAAGAAGCAGAUAAUUGUGAAGCAAGUUCUCUUUUAUAACAUAUAUAAAUAUAUAUGAGAAAAGAUCAAUAUUAAGCAUUAGUGGAACAUUAUAUCAACAAUAAUAAAAUAUACUAAGACCUAAUCUUCCUAACAGAAAAGAAGAACUAGGUAUAGAUCAUUGUUUUGUUUUUUUUAAAUGUGAACCCUGAAAAACUAAAACACUAAACCAAAUGUAAAAAAAAAAAAAAAAAAAA